GGCAGCUUUGUCAAAUUCAGUGCAUCCUCCUCAGUGGGUAACACUGGCCAAAAUGGCUGCCACAGUAAAAGUGUUGUAAAUGUGCUCCAUUGUGCGCUUAUACAGCCUUUGGGAAUACAUAUGUACUACACACAAAC